GGCCACUCUCUUACUUUUCUGAAGGGAAGGCAACGUUUGGUUUUAGAAACAAAAGCGAAAGCAACACCUCAGAUUACAUUACCAGGUCUGUGGAGAAGACAGUUUCUAACUCUCCAGCAAAAGAAGUUGUGUCCUCCAGUGGCAGAAGCCUGUGGUGGAAAGGUUCCUGAUAACAUGAGUGAGAAGAGGAACCAUGAUUGUCUGAAUAUUAUUCUUGUGGGGAAAAGUGGAGCUGGGAAGAGUGCAACAGGAAACAGUAUCCUUGAGAAAAAUGUGUUUUCUUCCAAACUGUCACCAAAACCUGUAACUGAGGUAGUACAGGAAUGUAGCCGGACAUGGGAAAGAGGGACACUGGUCAUCGUGGAUACUCCUCACAUCUCAAGGGACCCAGACUUGAUAAAGAAGUGGGAAGAGGAGCUUUGCAUUCUAAUUAUGGUGAUUCAAUUGGGCCGGUACACAGAAGAGGACAGGAAAGUCUUCAGAGAUGUGAAAAGGGUCUUUAAUAAGCCCCAUAAGAAAAUGAUUCUCCUAUUUACAAGGAAAGAAGAUUUAGGGGGUGGGAGUCUGAGUGAUUAUGUGGAGAAUUCAGACAAUAAGCAUCUUAAGAAGCUCAUUAAAAAACAUAAGAUUCCAUACUGUGCUUUCAAUAACAAAACUGCUGAAGAGAAAGAGAAGCAAAGUCAAUUGGAUGACUUGAUGAAAAAAAUUACGAAUCUCAAAUGUGUUAGGUCUCACAAAAUACAGUGAGAUCAGUCAUUUCUACCUUCUGCAUCCCCCUUUCAUUCCUCUUUCACUCCUAUCCCUGCUCCAAGUUCUUUGUUGCCAGCCCCCUGACAACCCAGGGCUCCUGCCUAUGGCCCCUCUCCAGGGAAGGGAGCCUUUGUGUGUCUCAGAGAGUUCUUGAUGACACCAAGAACAUCAAGACCUAUAGUGCAGAGUUAUGUGUCCCCCUGGCACAUGGUUUCCCCUAUUUCUGUGCCUCCUUGAUAGGUUUCUCUAAAUUUGUUCUCAGUCUCCUCUACGGAUAUUGCAUGGAUUAGUGCAAGGACAUGACUCAGAUUCAUGUAUAGACUGUUAAGGGCUAAAAUUCUAGCUAAACUGUCUAAAAUAUCUAAUGAGUGGUCGCCAAUAAAUUAUAAGCUUUAGCAAGAGUUAGACUUUUAAGCAUUUAUUA